UUAAGUGCUUUGACUUGUCAAGCAUUGUGCCAAAUAAUUGUCUGACACCAUUCUCCUUUUACCAUUAGUAGCAAUUCAAGAUGGGGCAAAGACACUGCCACUAAACUGCUGAAUGUAACAACCAGAUUACUCCAAGCUGAUCCAUUUUGCUAUUUUGUGGGGAGGGCUUAGACUUUUCUCUUUAAAAGUGAAAUUUAACAAAAUAGCCUUGCAGAUGGGCUUAUCUAUAAGUUCUACAGGUUGGUUAAAAUUUGUGGUGGGCCUUUAGUUAGCAGUUUACAUUUUAUUUAUUUUUUUUUAUAGGCUGCGUGAAGCUCAGGAAAAGAGUAGGCAGGUUAAAAUUUGUUUUUAAUGAGUUGAUACUUUUUAGAAACCUUAUCUGCAAAAAUUAAUGAGAACAACAAAUUCCACAUGAUGUUAUUUCUUCAUCUAGCUAAGAGUACAUUUAAGGCUGCCUGGAUGAAACUUUGCACUGAUAUUUGUAUAAUAGUUGAUCAUUCACUAUUUGACAAAUUGUUUCAGAAUGCCUUUGAUAGUGAAGUUUAGAUAAGUCCCUAUGUUUUGCAGUUUUACAGAUAAUUAUUUAACAAGUUGGAUAGAUUCAUGAAAUUGUUUGAAGUGGUUCAUACUGUUCUUUCAGGUUUGAGUGAGAUGUCUGAUUUCAGUGUCUGAAGUUUUGUCCUAUGGAGCAUAUCAUUUAAAGAAUUGUCAUUAACUGAUAAAACAGAUUGGAAAAACUAGGUGCCAAAGGUGUAUUUAAGAAAAUACCAAAGACUCAAAGAUGAGUGUUAGGAAGACUAUGAUAAUGAAGAUAAGAAUCUAAAGUAAGGAUUGCCUAGGACAUAGAAGAACAUUGUUAAAGGGGUUUGGAAUGAUUUGCUUACUAAUGUGCUUUCAGAACACUUUGUACAUAAUAAUGGUAAUCAAGGGCACUGCUUUAAAUGAAGAUACUACAGACCUUUAGGAAUCAUAUGCCUUGGAAAACAAUCUAUGUAUGGUGACUUGUCAACAAAGUAUCUUCCCUAGUUGGAUGCCAACUUGUAACCAAGAAGACUUUCUUCUAUUCAAGAGAAAUUUGGUUUUAGUUUUGAUUCAAUACUUGGUCCCUCUAACUAAUUACUGGGGUGAUUAACAUGAAUUCCGUUGGUAUAAAGAGUAUUGGUUCCCUAAUUAGCCUGCAUUGUUGAAGACCACAUAGAUGUAUUAUUGAUAAGACUAUGAGGCUUACGUUUAAUUACUCAAUCAAAAUUACGAAGAAAUGCUUUAGAAGAAAGUAAAAAAUUAUAAUUUAGGUUAAUUUUUAAAGGCAACUUAGUAUAAAUGACAAGCUAGCUUUGAAAUACAGAUUUAAAUGUUUAAAAAUUAAUUUGAGGGCAAGAUUUGGUACCAAAGUUUCAAAAAUUUUAUUUCACUGCUUAUAAAAUACUUUAUCAGAACACUUCUUUUAAAAAAUAACAUCUUAUUUGAAAAACUCCAAAUUUGAUGGGAUAGUUACACCAUCAUACAAUUUUGAAGGUAGAAUUAGCUUUCUAAUACUUUAAAAUAUUUCCUGAAAUGAACAUUUCACUUGGUUUAGGACCGUGUCUAUAAGUAAAAGACACCAAUGCUAAUAGAUAUGACUUACAAAAAUGCCACAUAUCGAAAUUGAUUGAGGAUUGAAAUAUAUAUACUUUGGCAUAGAGAAGAGAGGAAGAGAAAAAAAUAUCAAAAAAGUGUGACAUUGUAAUAUUUAUUGUGUUUAAUAAAUCUUGAAGAAAGAACUCUUGAGCAAUGAACCAGUGACAGAUAUAAAAGCCUGUUUUAUUUGAUGACAUCAUUAACUGAGUUUUCUCAUCUAUACAUUCAUACAUCGAGAAGGAACUGUCUUAAAAACCAGUGGUUUUUUUUUAAGUUCUAGCAUACAUGUGCAGAAUGUGCAGGUUUGUUACGUAGGUAUACACGUGCCAUGGUGGUUUGCUGCACCCAUCAACCUGUCAUCUACAUUAGGUAUUUCUCCUAAUGCUAUCCCUCCCCAGUGAUAUUUGUUAAUAUGCUUUUUUAAAAAAGUGUCUGCCUUGAAACAGGUAAUUAAAAAAUAUCUUGUAGGGCAUUUAAUUAUUUUUCCCAAUAAACAACUCAUAGAUAAGGGGUUGACUAAUGUUAUCUUGAUUUAGAAAAUUUGUAUGUAAACUGUGUAAACUUGUCUGAGUGAACUAAUAGGCUACCGGGGUUUUAGCAUGGCAAACUGAUACGUAGGGAGACCCAAAUACAGGCUUGCUUUGCUGACUACCCAGCGUGCUUUAUUACAGGAGAUGCAAAAGGUGGAAGACCAGUUACAACUUUUUUUUUUAAACCUGGACAUCCUUUCUCUGGUGACAAGAGCCGUCCUUAUGAUAAGGAAGUAGAGACGGGGUUUCACCGUGGUCUCGAUCUGCUGACCUCGUGAUCCGCCCGCCUCGGCCUCCCAAAGUGCUGGGAUUACAAGCGUGAGCCACCGCACCCGGCCACUUCGGUAUUUCUUAACACCAGGUACUGGAGCCCACCUUCCUUCUCUCCCUCUGGUUUCCUCUUUAAAUCACAGCCUGACCCCAGUCUUUAUAGUCCAUUGUUAAGUGGAAGUUAUAGUUCUAUUCUUCACCCACACCUUGCUCCCUAUCAUUGAUACUUAGAGGAAAGUAACAAUUUGCAGUACUGGCUGAACUCCUUUGGGAAAGUUUCUGGAGUGUAUCAAACAAGAAUUCAUCAUAGUAACAUGGUCAUUACUGGCUGAACAAAAUUCUUUUUGAAGCUAUUGUACUUAGUCAUCAAAUAAUUGUUUACUAAGGCAAUUUUCAUGUUUCUAGAAUUCAGUAUAAUAGUUAACAGUUGUGUAUGUCUCACAAAAGAAACUACUUAGGUUGGAAACAGUGGAAGGUUGUGUAUAAUUAAUUCAAUCAGGUCAUGAAUAUUUAUGUAACAUAUGGCAUUUUAAUUUAUAUGUUCUUAUUCUCAUAUUUCAUUACUAUACAGCAGCAACAAGAUAAAUUUCAGGUUUUUUGUUUCUUUAUUAAUUGGGCCAUGUCUAAAAGUUGUUACAUUCCUGGUUGAAUAUUACGGACAAAAUUUCCCCACUAAAGUAGUUUUGUCUUUCUCAAGGAUUAUCCUUUAGGGUUGGGUGGAUUAAAAACAUGACAUUAGUUCUUCUUGAGCAUACAAGUCACUAGGGAUCUUGUGAAAAUACAGAUUCCUUUUAGUAGGUUUGGGAUGAGGAAUGAAGGUCUUCAUCUCUCAAAUCUCCCAGGUGAUGUGGAUGCUGCCAAUCCAUCGACCACACUUUGAGUUGGGAGAUUCUACAUCUUUUGAGAAACAUGCACACUGAAGCCUAUACUCUUAAACUCUCAAAGACUCUGUGUUCAUGUCUGUGUUCUGCAAGAAUUUUUUUCUUUUAAGAAAUAAACUGCAUAAAGUAAAAUCAGAAAACCACAACACUGGUUUUCCAAAUUUGCCACAAAUACUAUAAUACUCUGUAGAGUAAAAUGCAAAGAUUAUUCCUCUUACAAGUUUUCUCUAUAUCAAGUGCAGGAAAGGAACAUGGGUAGAGUCAUGUAGCAUUCUUAUCAGUCAGGAGAUGACACGUGGUAAAUUUCUCUUCCUGAUUUUCCUCUUGAUUAUACUCACAUAAGGGAGCUCCAUUUGGUAACAAAGAUGAAAUUCUGUUCACAGUUAACAAGAAUUUAGCAAUUUCUUGCUUGGCAAAAUCUGAGACAACCUUACAAAAACAUCCUACAUUAAAUUCAGAAUUUUGGGUAGCUGCAUAAGCUGAAGAUUAUGGAAAACCCGAGCUGAAAAUGGCACCUGGAUCUGUAACUUCAUGUCUUGAACUCUUUUUUGAGCUUUAUUCUGUGAGAUCUUCCCCUACAGUGAUUUUUCUAUUUCUCCUCAGUCGCUGGGGUCUCAGUAAGGGGUGGAGGAUUGGUGUAAAUGAGAGAGUCACAUAAAUUGUCUAAUUUGAGCAUGCCAAGUGAUUUUUGUCAGGCUCUUUUGGUCAUAAAAUUUUGGUAUAGCUAUUGUGAAAUAUAGUGUCAUAAAUUUGUCAUAAACCAUUAAUGAAGGAAGAGAAGCAGAAAUUUAUUUCUGUGGGAAUGCACUCAAAUAUCAAGCAGAUGGUGUUCUACAACAUUUAUUUGGGAAAAUGUGUAUCUGUUACAUAAUCUAAAAUAUGUCUUUUUCACAUUUAAAAAUAUUUGGGUCAUGAUUUAGAGUUUUUAUUGGAUUGUUUUUUAAACUGAGAGGAAGAAGAAAGGUAAUUGUAUUUUAAAACAUUUGACAUGUUACUAAUAAAAUUUUAUUUCUGGUGAAA